GUGGGGAAUAUUGCACAAUGGGCGCAAGCCUGAUGCAGCAACGCCGCGUGAGGGAUGACGGCCUUCGGGUUGUAAACCUCUUUUAGUAGGGAAGAAGCGAAAGUGACGGUACCUGCAGAAAAAGCACCGGCUAACUACGUGCCAGCAGCCGCGGUAAUACGUAGGGUGCAAGCGUUGUCCGGAAUUAUUGGGCGUAAAGAGCUCGUAGGCGGCUUGUCGCGUCUGCUGUGAAAACCCGAGGCUCAACCUCGGGCCUGCGGUGGGUACGGGCAGGCUAGAGUGCGGUAGGGGAGAUUGGAAUUCCUGGUGUAGCGGUGGUAUGCGCAGAUAUCAGGAGGAACACCGAUGGCGAAGGCAGAUCUCUGGGCCGUAACUGACGCUGAGGAGCGAAAGCGUGGGGAGCGAACAGGAUUAGAUACCCCGGUAGUCC
rnacentral:rRNA from 1 species